UACGAAGGGGGGCUAGCGUUGUUCGGAAUCACUGGGCGUAAAGGGCGCGUAGGCGGCGCGACAAGUCAGGCGUGAAAAGCCCCGGGCUCAACCCGGGGGAAUUUGCGCUUGAUACUGUCGUGCUUGAGGCCGGGGAGAGGAUGGCGGAAUUCCCAGUGUAGAGGUGAAAUUCGUUAGAUAUUUGGGGAAGAAACACCGGGUGGGCGAAAGGCGGCCAUCUGGGACCGGUUCUGACGCUGAGGCGCGAAAAGCGUGGGGGAGCAAAACAGGG
rnacentral:rRNA from 1 species